rnacentral:rRNA from 1 species
UACGUAGGUCGCAAGCGUUGUCCGGAUUUACUGGGCGUAAAGAGCGCGCAGGCGGCUGGUCAAGUCCGAUGUGAAAUCUCCCGGCUCAACUGGGAAACUGCAUCGGAAACUGAUCGGCUUGAAGAUGGGAGAGGGUAGUGGAAUUCCCGGUGUAGUGGUGAAAUGCGUAGAUAUCAAGUGGAACACCAGUGGCGAAGGCGAGUCCCUGGACAACACCUGACACUGAGGCACGAAAGCUAGGGGAGCAAACAGG